rnacentral:tRNA from 1 species
GCCUUGUUGGCUCAGUGGUAAAGCGCCUCACUAGUAAUGAGGAGAUCCGUUCGAUUCGCCCACGAGGCA